rnacentral:rRNA from 1 species
UACAGAGGGUGCUAGCGUUGUUCGGAAUUACUGGGCGUAAAGCGCACGUAGGCGGCUUUGUAAGUUAGAGGUGAAAGCCCGGGGCUCAACUCCGGAAUUGCCUUUAAGGCUGCAUCGCUCGAAUCCGGGAGAGGUGAGUGGAAUUCCGAGUGUAGAGGUGAAAUUCGUAGAUAUUCGGAAGAACACCAGUGGCGAAGGCGGCUCACUGGACCGGUAUUGACGCUGAGGUGCGAAAGCGUGGGGAGCAAACAGG